rnacentral:rRNA from 1 species
GACGAACGCUGGCGGCGUGCUUAACACAUGCAAGUCGAACGGAAAGGCCCUGCUUUUGUGGGGUUCUCGAGUGGCGAACGGGUGAGUAACACGUGAGUAACCUGCCCUUGACUUUGGGAUAACUUCAGGAAACUGGGGCUAAUACCGGAUAGGAGCUCCUGCUGCAUGGUGGGGGUUGGAAAGUUUCGGCGGUUGGGGAUGGACUCGCGGCUUAUCAGCUUGUUGGUGGGGUAGUGGCUUACCAAGGCUUUGACGGGUAGCCGGCAUGAGAGGGUGACCGGCCACAUUGGGACUGAGAUACGGACCAGACUCCUACGGGAGGCAGCAGUGGGGAAUAUUGCACAAUGGGCGGAAGCCUGAUGCAGCAACGCCGCGUGCGGGAUGACGGCCUUCGGGUUGUAAACCGCUUUCGCCUGUGACGAAGCGUGAGUGACGGUAAUGGGUAAAGAAGCACCGGCUAACUACGUG